UACGUAGGGGGCAAGCGUUGUCCGGAUUUAUUGGGCGUAAAGAGCGUGUAGGCGGCCAAGCAGGUCCGCUGUGAAAACUCGAGGCUCAACCUCGAGAGGUCGGUGGAAACCGUUUGGCUAGAGUCCGGAAGAGGAGAGUGGAAUUCCCGGUGUAGCGGUGAAAUGCGCAGAUAUCGGGAAGAACACCGGUGGCGAAGGCGGUGCUCUGGGCCAGUACUGACGCUGAGGAGCGAAAGCGUGGGGAGCAAACAGG
rnacentral:rRNA from 1 species